rnacentral:rRNA from 1 species
UACGUAGGGCGCAAGCGUUUGUCCGGAAUUAUUGGGCGUAAAGAGCUCGUAGGCGGCUUGUCACGUCGGGUGUGAAAGCCCGGGGCUUAACCCCGGGUCUGCAUUCGAUACGGGCAGGCGUAGAGUGUGGUAGGGGGAGAUCGGAAUUCCUGGUGUAGCGGUGAAAUGCGCAGAUAUCAGGAGGAACACCGGUGGCGAAGGCGGAUCUCUGGGCCAUUACUGACGCUGAGGAGCGAAAGCGUGGGGAGCGAACAGG